CUACUGGGCUGCCUGUUCUGUAGAUUCUAAAGAGCCACAUUCUGACUUCCUGCAGGAUUUAGGAUGUGUGCUUCCAUGGGCCUGCAGAGGUGAAACUGAGCGCAGGAGCUAGUCCAAAGAAGACAACUACAAAGGAAGUCUGAUGCAAUGUUGCCCACCUGCUCCAGGAAGAGAGAGUACGAACACAAUCCAGUGGAUGAUGCCUCUGCACCCGUACUGUGUUACAGAGGUGUGCUGACCACAGUGCUGGUGAAGUUCAGGCUAUGGGUCACUGAUUUCAGUGGNUUCACUGAUUUCAAUUGAUCUACUCCUGAUUUACACUAGAAUAAGCAAGAUUGGAAUUUGGCCCAAUCUGUCUAAUGGUAAAAAAACAAAAACAAAAAAAACACCAACGAGCAGGAAAGCUGGCUACCUACUGAUGUUUUUGGGUGCCUUAAUUUUAAGGUGACCAUCUGUAGAAAUUGUUUUAAUUUUUAAAGGCGUUGAGCAACCAUAACUCCAAAUUGAAUCCUACAGCGCUACACUAUGAACUUACAUCGGUACAACAAUGUCACUCAGGUGUUUUCCACACCCCUGAGCGAUGCAGUUAUACUGACUGAACUCCCAAUGUAGACAUACUAUGUUGACGGGAGGGCUUCUGCCACCAUAGAUAGUGUCUUCACUAAACGCUACAGAGGUGUAGCUGCAUCAAGUGUUCUAAGUGUAGGCAAGAAUGAAGCCAAGAAGACUUACAGGUGCUCAGCACCUCUGCAGUCAAAACGUCUCAAGCUUGUCAGCCAAAAACUGAGUCACCAAAUCAGGCCUGGAUCAGCACCCAACAUUUGAGGCACUCGAAUGUAAGAGAAUGCAUGUUGGUGUNGAGAAUGCACGCUGGUGUCUCAGCUGUGCCAUUUGUGUCUGAUUUAGCCUACGUCCACACUACAGCUUUAAAUCGAUAUUAGUAAAAUCGAUUUUAUAAAACAGGUUUUAUAAA
rnacentral:lncRNA from 1 species